UACGUAGGGAGCAGGCGUUGUUCGGAUUUACUGGGCGUAAAGGGCGCGUAGGCGGCGCGGUAAGUCACUUGUGAAAUCUCUGAGCUUAACUCAGAACGGCCAAGUGAUACUGCAGUGCUAGAGUGCAGAAGGGGCAAUCGGAAUUCUCGGUGUAGCGGUGAAAUGCGUAGAUAUCGAGAGGAACACCUGCGGCGAAGGCGGGUUGCUGGGCUGACACUGACGCUGAGGCGCGAAAGCUAGGGGAGCGAACGGG
rnacentral:rRNA from 1 species